CUUAAGAUGUGCUGUGCUAGCUUCCUUAGGCUUCAUCUUCCACGACACGCUUUUCGAUCCCCACUUGUCCACCAAUGAGAUCUCCUUAUGGCUUAUCUUUAAAGCCAAAAACAAAAACAAAAACAAAAACUCAGAAUAAGUAAAAACUAAAAAGGCCAUUAUUAAAGCUCUUCCCAGACAACAAAUCUUCCCCUUCCAUUUCAUGGCCAAUUCCACCCAAACUUUCAUCACUGACACUACCAACAAAAACCCCACCAAACGUCGAAAGCUAAUUACAGGCCACCACCGCCACCUAGAACAGCCUCUCAUACCAGGUCUCCCUAACGACAUAGCCCAGUUUUGUCUCUCCCUUGUUCACCCUUCAACUCUUUACACUGUUUGCCACGCAUGGCGUCGCCUAAUCUAUUCCCCUUCUUUCCCUCCUUUCUUCUCUUUGUAUGCAGUGCUAUCAUCAACGAAUACAAACCAUAACCUUCCUGAUAAUAAUUCAAUCCAAUUCUUUAACUUUGACCCCAUUUCUUCGCGGUGGGAUUCUCUCCCUCCUCCACCACCAGAUCCGCCACUCCAUCUCAUCCUUCGCCACCCUUCCUUUAUCUCCCGUGACCUUCCUAUCCAAACCAUCUCCGCCUCUGAUCGCUUGGUACUUCUUGCUGCUACUUCUCACAGUUUUUCACCCGCUCUCUCUCGCCCUCUUGUUUUCAAUCCAUUUUCAGGCUCAUGGGCCUUUGGUCCUCCCCUCGCCACACCUCGCCGCUGGUGUGCUGCUGGCUCGGCACAUGGCACGGUCUAUGUGGCGAGUGGGAUCGGAUCCCAAUACAACACAGAUGUGGCCAAGUCAUUGGAGAAGUGGGAUUUGCAAAACAACAAAGCCAUGAUCUCCAACAUCUGCAAUAAAACAACCACAUGGAAAUGGGUAAAGGUUAAAGAACUGAAAAAUGGGAGAUUUAGUAGGGAUGCUAUUGAUGCAGUAGGAUGGAGAGGGAAACUUUGUAUGGUGAAUAUGAAGGGAGAUGCAGCUAAAGAAGGGAUUGUUUAUGACACUGAGAAGGACACAUGGGAGAACAUGCCAGAGGGUAUGGUUGCAGGGUGGAGAGGACCCGUGGCAGCCAUGGACGAGGAGGUUAUGUAUGUGGUGGAUGAAGCCAAAGGUGUGCUUAGAAAAUAUGAUCCAGAAAGGGAUUGCUGGGAGCAUAUAAUGGAGUCAGAAAGGCUUAUUGGAGCACAACAGAUUGCUGCUGGUGGCGGUAGAGUUUGUGUUACUUGCGGCGGGAGUACUGAGCUUGUGGUGCUAGAUGUGGUGGCGCUUCCGGUGAGACUAUGGAUGGUGGAAACGCCACCGGGAUUUGAAGCCUUUCGGAUUCAUAUAUUGCCAAGGAUAAGCCGGCCAGAUAAUUGAUUUCCUGGUAUCGAGGAGGGGCCAUAAGAGUUGUGUAGCAACAUGAAGCGUCAACAGUAGGUCUAUCACAUUCAUGCUAGGAGUGAUUCUUGUUUUAUCUCAUCUUUUAUUAUCUGGACGAGGAAUGUUAUAUCUGUAUUUUGAAAACAUUUUGAAUUUUAGGUAACUUGUAAUGUAAUAAUAAACUUUUGAUUUUAGAGAAAUUAAAUUAUA